UUUGAUCCUGGCUCAGAACGAACGCUGGCGGCAGGCCCUAACACAAUGCAAGUCGAGCGCACCCUUCGGGGUGAGCGGCGGACGGGGUGAGUAACGCGUGGGAAUAUGCCCUUUGGUACGGAAUAGUCCUGGGAAACUGGGGGUAAUACCGUAUGCGCCCCUUCGGGGGAAAGAUUUUAUCGCCAAAGGAUUAGCCCGCGUUGGAUUAGGUAGUUGGGUGGGGUAAUGGCCUACCAAGCCGACGAUCCAUAGCUGGUUUGAGAGGAUGAUCAGCCACACUGGGACUGAGACACGGCCCAGACUCCUACGGGAGGCAGCAGUGGGGAAUCUUAGACAAUGGGGGCAACCCUGAUCUAGCCAUGCCGCGUGAGUGAUGAAGGCCCUAGGGUUAUGGAAGCUCAUCAGCUGGGAAGAUAAAGACGG
rnacentral:rRNA from 1 species